rnacentral:tRNA from 6 species
GCGGGGGUGGCGAAAUGGCAGACGCGCUAGGUUCAGGUCCUAGUGAUCGCAAGGUCGUGAGGGUUCAACUCCCUCUCCCCGCACCA